UGCAAUCAGAGAAAACUGAUCAGUGGCUAUUAGUGACUUAAAGUGUUUCUGGUAGACUUGAAAGUAAGCCUCUGUUUUUAGAAUAUUGGGUCCUGCCUGGGCCCUUUUUUCUUUACAUAACUGAUUUUAACCAAAUGAGGAAAUUGACUCUUAAUGACUGUGGACAUGACACCAGUCAAAGAAGGUAUAUAUAUGUAGAUUGUGAAUGUACCCAAACCAUUUUGUUGGGUGGAAUCUGUGUAUUUCUACAAGAGGGACCCUCAGAAAGGACACGAGCCACUGGACAGGACCGACUUCCUGGCCAGAAGAGAGGUUUAAGGACUCCCCUGCACACCUGAACUUUUCAAGAAGAGAAGCCAUGAUACCCCAGAUAUGAAAGCUGCCAUCUUGCAUUGAUGUCAGGAGGAUGGAGCCGCGGUAUCAAGAUCCCAACGAUACACAUGCUCGACCAAUCCUGAAGUAACAGCAUGGCCACCUAGGAGACACACUUCCAUUCCUCAAUUACCUCCCUGCCUUCCUCCAUCCUUCAUUCCCACCAUUGGCGAGGCGGUUGGAGGUUAUGACGUCUGUUGCGAUGCACAAGAGAGAGUACACCACAGAGACGACGUUUUAACAGCAAACACGCUGCAUUCCUGCUGCUGGUCCGCAGCUGGACUCCAAAAUAAAGUUUACAUUCCUGGGUAGCUGGGAGGAAUGCUGCCCUCUGGGGCCCUGGAUCAGGCCUGCGGAUUACAAGUCAGGGACCACGGAUGGAGACCAGGAUGCUCACUAACCAGCUAUUACCACUCCACCUGGUGAGAAUCAUUAUUCGCUGAUCUGCACCCCAGAGCAGACAAAGGAUUCACUGUCUGGCUCAAGGACACUUCUGCAGAAUGUGCUGCUGAUGGGCUUGAAACAGAGCAACAGCCUCUUUGAAGAAAAGUAUGGACAUCAGUCAAAGGCCCGACUGGCUGUGAUAAAGCGGAGGAGUGUUUGUUUCCGGAUUUUCUGCCACUCCCACGAUCACAUGACGACUGCAGCGCAUGAAGAUCGCACCAAGAAUGAAAAAUUAACUUUAAAGAGACAUUCAGUCAAUACAUCUAACUGUUAUGUCUUCUGUACCUAAUAAACUAUGUAAAACAAUACUAAAUACAAAAAUGUUUAAAACCAAAGUUAAGACAAG